rnacentral:rRNA from 1 species
UACGGAGGGUGCAAGCGUUAAUCGGAAUUACUGGGCGUAAAGCGCACGUAGGCGGACCGGAAAGUCAGAGGUGAAAUCCCAGGGCUCAACCUUGGAACUGCCUUUGAAGCUCCUGGUCUUGAGGUCGAGAGAGGUGAGUGGAAUUCCGAGUGUAGAGGUGAAAUUCGUAGAUAUCAAGCGGAACACCGGUGGCGAAGGCGGCCUUCUGGACGACGACUGACGCUGAGACGCGAAAGCGUGGGGAGCAAACGGG